rnacentral:tRNA from 1 species
UAUAGAAUGGUGUAGCAGCACAUUGAUUUUUGGUAUCAACAGUGAGGAAUCCCUCUUCUAUAC